rnacentral:rRNA from 1 species
GACGAACGCUGGCGGCGUGCUUAACACAUGCAAGUCGAACGAUGAAGCCUAGCUUGCUAGGUGGAUUAGUGGCGAACGGGUGAGUAAUACGUGAGUAACCUACCUUUAACUCUGGGAUAAGCCCGGGAAACUGGGUCUAAUACCGGAUACGACCAAUCUCCGCAUGGGGUGUUGGUGGAAAGCGUUAUGUAGUGGUUAUAGAUGGGCUCACGGCCUAUCAGCUUGUUGGUGAGGUAACGGCUCACCAAGGCGACGACGGGUAGCCGGCCUGAGAGGGUGACCGGCCACACUGGGACUGAGACACGGCCCAGACUCCUACGGGAGGCAGCAGUGGGGAAUAUUGCACAAUGGGCGCAAGCCUGAUGCAGCGACGCCGCGUGAGAGAUGACGGCCUUCGGGUUGUAAACCUCUGUUAGCAGGGAAGAAGAGAGAUUGACGGUACCUGCAGAGAAAGCGCCGGCUAACUACGUG